GGACUGAGACACGGUCCAGACUCCUACGGGAGGCAGCAGUGGGGAAUAUUGCACAAUGGGCGCAAGCCUGAUGCAGCCAUGCCGCGUGUGUGAAGAAGGCCUUCGGGUUGUAAAGCACUUUCAGUCAGGAGGAAAGGUUAGUCGUUAAUACCGGCUAGCUGUGACGUUACUGACAGAAGAAGCACCGGCUAACUCCGUGCCAGCAGCCGCGGUAAUACGGAGGGUGCGAGCGUUAAUCGGAAUUACUGGGCGUAAAGCGUACGCAGGCGGUUUGUUAAGCGAGAUGUGAAAGCCCCGGGCUCAACCUGGGAACUGCAUUUCGAACUGGCAAACUAGAGUGUGAUAGAGGGUGGUAGAAUUUCAGGUGUAGCGGUGAAAUGCGUAGAGAUCUGAAGGAAUACCGAUGGCGAAGGCAGCCACCUGGGUCAACACUGACGCUCAUGUACGAAAGCGUGGGGAGCAAACAGGAUUAGAUACCCUGGUAGUCCACGCCGUAAACGAUGUCUACUAGAAGCUCGGAACCUCGGUUCUGUUUUUCAAAGCUAACGCAUUAAGUAGACCGCCUGGGGAGUACGGCCGCAAGGUUAAAACUCAAAUGAAUUGACGGGGGCCCGCACAAGCGGUGGAGCAUGUGGUUUAAUUCGAUGCAACGCGAAGAACCUUACCUACACUUGACAUACAGAGAACUUACCAG
rnacentral:rRNA from 1 species